CACGUAGGGUGCGAGCGUUGUCCGGAAUUAUUGGGCGUAAAGAGCUCGUAGGCGGUCCGUCACGUCGGAUGUGAAAUUCCAGGGCUCAACCCUGGACCUGCAUUCGAUACGGGCGGACUAGAGUUCGGUAGGGGAGACUGGAAUUCCUGGUGUAGCGGUGAAAUGCGCAGAUAUCAGGAGGAACACCGGUGGCGAAGGCGGGUCUCUGGGCCGAUACUGACGCUGAGACGCGAAAGCGUGGGGAGCAAACAGG
rnacentral:rRNA from 1 species